rnacentral:rRNA from 1 species
UACGUAGGGUGCAAGCGUUAAUCGGAAUUACUGGGCGUAAAGCGUGCGCAGGCGGUUUUGUAAGUCUGUCGUGAAAUCCCCGGGCUCAACCUGGGAAUUGCGAUGGAGACUGCAAGGCUAGAAUCUGGCAGAGGGGGGGUAGAAUUCCACGUGUAGCAGUGAAAUGCGUAGAUAUGUGGAGGAACACCGAUGGCGAAGGCAGCCCCCCUGGGCUAAGAUUGACGCUCAUGCACGAAAAGCGUGGGGGAGCAAACAGG